rnacentral:rRNA from 1 species
UGGGGAAUUUUCCACAAUGGGCGAAAGCCUGAUGGAGCAAUACCGCGUGAGGGAUGAAGGACCGUGGUUCGUAAACCUCUUUUCUUAAGGAAGAACACAAUGACGGUACUUAAGGAAUAAGCACCGGCUAACUCCGUGCCAGCAGCCGCGGUAAUACGGGGGGUGCAAGCGUUGUCCGGAAUGAUUGGGCGUAAAGCAUCUGUAGGCGGUUUCGAAAGUCGACUGUUAAAGCCCAGGGCUUAACUUUGGAAAAGCAGUCGAGGACUUCGGAACUGGAGUUUGGUAGGGGUAAAGGGAAUUCCUAGUGGAGCGGUGAAAUGCACAGAGAUUAGGAAGAACACCUAUGGCGAAAGCACUUUACUGGGCCAAAACUGACGCUGAGAGAUGAAAGUUGGGGGAG